GACGAACGCUGGCGGCGUGCCUAAUACAUGCAAGUUGAGCGCUGAAGGUUGGUAUUUGUACCAACUUGAUGAUCAGCGAACGGGUGAGUAACGCGUGGGGAAUCUGCCUUUUAGCGGGGGACAACAUAUGGAAACGAGUGCUAAUACCGCAUAAAAACUUUAAACACAAGUUUUAAGUUUUAAAGAUGCAAUUGCAUCACUCAAAGAUGAUCCCGCGUUGUAUUAGCUAGUUGGUGAGGUAAAGGCUCACCAAGGCGAUGAGACAUAGCCGACCUGAGAGGGUGAUCGGCCACAUUGGGAAUGAGACACGGCCCAAACUCCUACGGGCGGCAGCAGUAGGGAAUCUUCGGCAAUGGACGAAAGUCUGACCGAGCAACGACGCGUGAGUGAAGAAGGUUGUCGGAUCGUAAAACUCUGUUGGUAGAGAAGAACGUUGGUGAGAGUGGAAAGCUAAUCAAGUGACGGUAACUACACAGAAAGGGACGGCUAACUACGUG
rnacentral:rRNA from 1 species